AUACAGAGAAAGGGAAAAAGGGAAAAAUCCUACCCUCUUCACAUCAGUCUUCUUAACUUUUUUUCUCUCUAAAAAAAACCCUAGCCGUACUACGAUAGAGGCGAUCUCUUCACAUCAAACUCCGCUAGGAGAAAAAAAAAAAAAAUUACUUGCGCCACAAUGGAGAUUCGAUUGAUCAUCGCUAUCCCCUUUUGAGUUUUCCAGGUACGUUCUUCUCUCUCUCCCUCUCCCUCUCCUUCUCUCUAAGAGUUUUUGUUGUUUUGAUUCAGUUUUGAAACUUCUCUGUGAUUUCGGGAUAAGUUUCCCCUGUUUCCGUCAAUUUACGGAAUAUUCUGUGUGUGUUCAUUCUACGUUUUUGGAGUGCUUUGUUGUGAAAAUUGGACGAAAUAUACGCAUCAAUUCUCUGUGUUCAUUUUUCCCCUUUUGGUGCUUUGUUGUGAAAAUUGAUUGUUCAAAUUUCUGCAGGAAUUUUCCUGCAUAAUUUCGUUUAAGAAGUAUUGUUGUUGUUUCUGUUAUGUAUGUCCACGGGUUGUAUUUCUGUUGCUGCAUAUUUUGUUUUCUGCAGAAUAGGUUCAGGAUUAUCUGCAUAAUUUGUGCUUACAGGGGGUAAUUGUAAUAUUUGUUGCUGUUUCUGUAUUUUAUGUCCUUGGGCUGUAUUUAUUUUGUUGCAUAUUUUGUUUUCGGCAGAACAGGUCUUUGUUCCCCUGUAUUUAUGCUUACAGGGUUGUUGUGUUUGUACAUGUAUUUCCCUUUUAUCAAAUAAAAUUUCUAUCUUUAUCUCAAAAAAAAAAAAAAAAAAAACUUCGUAAGUACUGCCAACUGCAAUUUGUUGGCAUCGUUUGGUUUUGUUGAACGCCUCAUGGGUAGUUAGAAUAUCUUCUCAAACUUUCAAAUGUCAUUUAUCUCAAUUGUUAAUUUAAUUUUUUCCCUACCAGAAAAGUUACUGGGUUCUCUAAUAGAAGAAUUACCGUUGGGUUUUCUACAAUAAAAUGAAAGAGAGAUGCAGAUAUAGAGAAAUGGAGAGACAGAAAUAGAGAGAGAUAGAUACAAUCCGUAAGCAAUAGGGAUUGAGAUUGAGGAUCAGCACUACUCCGUGACCAAUAUAAUUGGAAAUAAACACAGACUGAUGAAAGACAGAUUUAUGAUGUUCACCAGGUGUUUUCAAGAAAUAUUGCUGGAUAAAACUGGCAGGUUAGGAGAUUCUAACUAUCAUUCUUCUCAUUCUCUAUCCUAUGACUUCCAUUAGGUUGAUUCUGUUGUUUCUCCAAUGGACUUCUUCUCUAUUCUAUCUCAAUAUCAGUAUCAUUGGAUUCAUCCAUUGGAUUACAUUUUGCCAAUUGAUGUAUUUGGGAUAGUUCUCUGCAAAAUUAAGUUUUCUUUGGUUUAUUUUUUUGUUUUAUUGCUUUGCAAUAUUAGAAAAUGUUGCAAAGUUUAUAUCAUCAAUUUUGGCUAUUCAACCUGUUUUCUUUAUAUUGUAAACGCCUUUGUAUUUUUCCCUUUGUAUCAGUUUCUUUCAGCAAGAAUAGUUACUCAACCAAGCAAGGGAGGAGAGUUAGUCAAGGAGCCAAUUUGUAAGGUAUUCUUAAAGAAAAUUAAAACUUAAAUAAAUCAACAAUGGUCUCUUCAAAACCCCUUUGCUAUCAGCCUUCAACAUUCUUUGGUUUCUAAAACAUUCAUUGGCUUUAAUAUACUAAUCAAAACAGAAUUUUGUCCAAUAGAUUCACCAGUUUUCUCACAUUGUCUCUCUAUAAUUACCCCCUUUUUGUCUUUGUCUCUGUCUCUGUCUCUCUCAUGUUUUUGUUAGGGUAAUGUUUGAAAGAACAUUAAAUGUCUUUGUGUGUGGUUUAUCUUUAGAAUGAAUAGAUUAUGACUUUGGGAAUUUACGUUUUGACUUAAGUGGUUUAUAAAUAAAGGGGUCUUGAAGCUUAUUUUAUCAUAAUUGACCACAAAUCAAAUUUUAUCUAGAAUAUAAAAAAAUCAAUUGAUAUUGUAUAACCUAUUAUCUAUACCUUUAAAAGAAAGGUUUUUCAAAGGAUUUUUUUUGCCCUGUUUGAAGCUUCUCAAUGGGUAUCACUAGGCCUUGAAUACGUUGUGUUCUGUUAGUCUAUCCGCUCUUUUUUCUCUGCCCAUCUCCUUCUCCAAAACCACAUUAUAACCUCCAUUUUAUUUGGUAUGUGAUUUUACUAAUAAGCUUUGGCUUUGGGAUUUUUGUUUCAUUUGCCAAGUUCUAUAAAAUGAGCAAUGUGAGUUUGAAGGUUCUGUUUUGGUUAUCUUUGUGUUUGUUCUCUAUUUGUUUGUUUAAAUUUCUCAGUGAACAAAAUUUGUUCUAUGGAUCCAAUUUGUUAAAAAGAUUUCUUCUUCAAAAUGUUAUUUUUCUGCACUAUUCUUCUACAAAGUAUCUGCACUGCUACACAUCUAAAAUCUUCGCUACAUUGUUUCACAAAAUCUACAUUGCACUGAUUCAUAAAAAGUCUGCACUGCACUGCACUAUUUCAUUAAAUCUACUCUGUUUUGAAUAACUAUCUGCACUUUUUUAAAAUAACUUUUGUCUUGGUUAUCUUUGUGUUUUUUCUGUGUGUUUGUUUAAAUUUUUCAGUGAAUACGUAGAACAAAUAUAGGUUCUGAUAAAUAAAAUCUAUAAACAUUUCCCAAAACCAUUCUUUGUUCUUAAAGGGAAUAAAUAUGACAAAGAAAUUGGACCUGAAUAAAACAGGACACGUAAUUUUUUAAAAUCAAUUAAAUUUCUUAAUCAAUUUUGACGCUGCAUUACAUGUCACUAAAACUAUCAAAGUUCAUAUUUUAAUGCAUAACUUAGUGGGAGAUUAGGAGAAAGAGAAACAAUAAAAUUUGAUAAAAAAAAAACCUGCAGUUGUCUUAAGACGUAUAUCGGUAAUUGAAAAAUAGCCAUCCUCAUUUGCUUUGCUCCAAGAUUCGUAGUCUUAAUAAUUGGGAAUUGACAUGCAAAAGUUGUUUAUAAGGCAAAUAGUGUUAUGGUUAGGGGUGAAAGUUUUUAAUUUGAAUACUUUGUCUUGCCUUUUGGAUCCUUUGGGCAUAUUUUGAUAUGAUUAGGGAAGGUGGCUAUGUAGAAUCCAUUGUGCCAUUUUGAAUACUUAAUAUUUACAUUUUCUUACUCUAUGCAAAUUGAGUGUACUUGAUUUAUGUGAGGAAUUGAGGGCAACUAAGCCAAAUCACGAGAAAGAGAUUUUGUGGCAUAUGUGAAGUUUGCCUUGGAUCUGACCAAUGCACCAUUAAAAAAUUAUGCAACUGUUUGGAAAAAAGGAAGAAGGUAAGUUUGUUUCUUUAAGAUGUUUCCUUGCUGUUCUAUCUUUUAGAUUUUAGGUAGUUAUUGAAGAGAGAUACAGCUUGAUUAUUACCAUUUAAUUGUGUUUUUUUUUGGGUUAUGUUGUGUGGAUUGCAAGUAGUCAAAACUUUAAUUUGAAGGAAAAUUAUUGGCCAGGGUGCCUCAGCGUUAUUUUGGACCAUGUGAUGCUUUUUUAAUCAUAGUGAGGAAUGUCUAUUUACCCACUACAAUAUUGUGCCCUUUUUCUCCUUCAGUAUUUCAAUGCAUUAUUUCUAAUACCUUUCAAAAAGUAGGAAGGUUUAGGAUCUCUCUGGAUUAAUCUCUAAACCUUUAAUUUUUGUUAGGACCACACAUGCAUAAUCUGUAGAAAGAAAUAACUAUAAGUUUACAACUUAAAAGGAAAUUAGAGGAUUUUUUUUUUUUUUUUUUUUUUUUUUUUUUUUUUUUUAUAUAUAUUAAUGUGACCCUUAAGAUGACUGGAGAGGACUGCAUAAUCUAUGCAUGGUUUCUUUGGUGUAUUAAUGGAGAUUCAUGCUUAGAUUAUGUACUUUUAAUGAUACUAUUGUCCAAGGGAUUAAUGCUUACCAUAAAAAUAAUUAUUUAUUUAUUUAUUUUUUCCGAUUUAGAGAUUUUUAUUAGACGUGUUGAAAGGAAAAAGAAAUGAUAAGCUAUCUAACAUUGAUUCAUGUGAUUUAGAUUUGAGAUGGUAGAACUAAUUUCGCAUCUAUAUGUGUUCUUCAUUUGGAAUCAAUUUAACAUAUUUUUUUUAAAAGUUCUGAUAUGUCCAGGUAUGCAAAAAGAUCAUCAAUGGCUUGGUUGCUCACAACAUUAGACCCAUAAACUUUUAAGGGGGUUAAACUAUUUGACUUUUGGUUCAUUUUAAGGUUAUAAAUGUUAUUUUGAGCUAUGUACCUAAAUUUUUAUGAUGUUAUGAAGAAAACUAUUUGUUUUUCCACUUUUGUAAGUUUAAUUUUUUCCCGCUUA